GGCAUGGUGAGCUGAAAACAGAUUUUCUCCUCAGCAUCAACAGUGGAGCCUAGAACCUCUCAAGUCACAUCAGUACUUUCACCUUGACAUACAGCAAUGGGGCUGCAGCAUGGGUUGAAAAAUAUGAAUGAACAAAGAACCAUAUGCAGUAACCCAAAGGCACUGAGUCACCUGCCAUCUUCCUUGCUGUUGGGAACCGUCAUGUUUAAAGUCUGGAAAAUCACCCAGUUCUCAGAAUUUACUAAUUGACAGAGCACUUAACUACCCAUCCAAUGGAAAAAGAAAAAAAAUUAAAAAAAGAGAGAAAAAGGAAUCUGAAGACAACCUAGAAAAUAUGUUGAAGAGAGCCAAGCUAGAUGCCUCCUUGCAUUUUUGCUAAUGUGUAUUGCCUCUAGAAAGGUACCUAUCCUAUAGAAUAUUCCAGCCAGAAGGUUUUGCUGACUUGAACUGAGGAAGAUCAGAAGCCAUUUUGUUCACAUGAAGGUUAAGCAAACAGCAAAUCAGACAGAUUUUUAUAUUCUGUGAUCCAUGGAGUCAUCCGAUAAAGAAGCAAAAAAUAAUAUAACUUGAGAUAUAAGUCAUCUCAUAAGGAAGCAGAAAUAAUAGUUAUAGAAUAGCAGUUGACUAUCUAGCUUUAAUUAAUCAGCAGUUAGUUUAGCCAUUUACCAUGUAAUAUCUCAUGUAUUCACUUUUAGCAGUAACACUAACUCAAAAUCAAGGUUAGAUGUGCACUACUCUCCAAUGCUUUCCUGUGUACAAUAGAUUUCUGUAUUUUUUUCAUCCUAGUCAUAUCAUUACAGAGACUGUUAGAAUUAGUGAGUUGUAAUAUUUACAAGAGAUAAAUUUUGUCUAAAGAGUUUGAAAAGUCAUGCUCAGUAAUUGCAAAGACAUCAAUAUUUGUUUCAGAAUAAUUUGCAUAAAUGAGAUAAAAUUGAAUUUAUUAAAAUGUUAACUAUAACAUAAAGUUUCUGCACUCUUCAGGUAUUAUCUGGACAAGAUUAUUGAUAGUCUUAGAGCUACUAUCAAGGGCAGUAUGCAGAUAGAUUAAAGUUAACCCUAUUCUCUACAGCAGCCAUUCCUUUCCUUCAAGCUUAAUGCAUAUUGGAGGAUUUAGUGGGUUUGCAGAGUAACUACCUUUUCAUUAAUUCUGGUGAUGCCCUUCAUAGAAUCACAGAAACAUAGCAUUGUAAAAUCCUUAAGGGUGGAAAAGAUAUCUAAGAUCAUCUAGUCCAACCACAAAACCAUCAACCAUGUCCCUCAGUGCCACAUCUGCACUUUUCUCCUUUUGUGUUGUGCAACAUCUCCAAUUUUGGAUGAUUUCUAUUUUUUUUUACUUCAUAAUUUACCACCUGUGUCAUUUCUGAAGUUAAAGAAUUUCAUCCUACGAAAUAGUCCUUCUGUGACAUCUUUUAAAAUACAUUCAUUAGGUCAAGCCAUAAAAUUGCUUUCUGAGGCAUUUCUUGUGAUAAGACUCUGACUUAUCUAGGGGAUGAGAGGUGGGUGUUGCUGUGUGGCAGUUCACAUCACUGUGUGGACAAUUUUACAUUUGAAAGCAUUUCUUUGGAGCUGUUUGCCUGCAGAAGAGAGUGCUCAGGAUUAUUUACUGGCAGAAGAUCUGGCCUAUGAGCAAAUAACUCCAUCUUGGUAUGUGAAAAUUGAGGAACAAUACCAUCAUGUCCUGGGAAAAACAGAUGCAGGUGGGCACCUCCCUGCUCCCUCUUAGGUGCUGGCAAGGCCCAGAAGAUGGGAACAGAGUUUCUGCUGAGAUUCCAAAACCAGAAACUGCUGUUCCAAAAAGAGCUGACUCAACCACUUUGGAUUUGAGCUGUCACUCCAAAGAGAUCUGACUCAACCACUCUGGACUUAUAAAUAAGUUUGUACUACCAUUGGAAAGUUGAUAUCGUCAACGGAACAAUGCCUGACGACCCAACACUACUGAAUAUCAAGGUCUGAACUAUGAGCCACACUGGACACGAUUGUGACUAUCUCCCUCUUGCUUCCUACAAAGACUCCUUGCUUUUAUUUCCUAUCUUUUCUAUCACCUAUCUUCCCUUCCUCAUCUCUGAAAAUGACUAGGAUUUGUAAUAAACUGGUGAAGCUAAUAUUUGACCUGUUGUGUCUCAAUCUCACCGUCAGGUAUACAUAUAUUAAGAGCCUCCUCUCCUUCCUAUAAAUUGGAGCAAGACACUUGGUAAAAGCUAGCACAUUCACAGAAAAGAGGUUUAGGCCAGGAAUGAUAGAUUAUGAUAGAUUGGUCAGGUUUUGGGCUUUGUUGAUGGUAGUUAUUUUGUUUGUUUUUUUCCCCAGUAUACUUUGUAAGUUGAUAUGUCUGGUUUUGAGUGUCAUAAUGGAUUCAAACUGUCUUUGGUAGCAAGUUCAGCUUCAGUGUGUAUAUGUAUACAUAUAUAUAUAUAUGUGUAGUUCAAAAUGGUAUGUUGGUAUAGCAAAUUGUUAAAUAUAUCUUGUGAAAUAAAAUGUUUCCGUUUGAA